rnacentral:lncRNA from 1 species
CUUCCGCAUUGGUCGCGGCGCAAAUAUUAGACUGAGACCGACGCGUACGGGCCGCCGCGCCUUCCGCGCGCGGGUCUUAGGCAUGCGGCGGCUUCACACCCUUCUAUUUUGGUGACUCUGGAUAACUGUCAGUACGAUCGCACGGGCUAGUAUCGCACUAGCCUUCGCGCGAAGGGUCCCCCGCGAGUCCGCCCUAUCAACUGUCGACGGCCCGGUCAGUGCCGACCGUGGUGGCAACGGGUAACGGGGAAUCAGGGUUCGAUUCCGGAGAGGGAGCAUGCGAAACGGCUACCACAUCCAAGGAAGGCAGCAGGCGCGCAAAUUACCCACUCCCGGCACGGGGAGGUAGUGACGAAAAAUAACGACGCGGGACUCUGUCGAGGCCCCACGAUCGGAGUGAGUACACUUCAAAUCCGUUUACGAGGAUCGACCGGAUGGCAAGUCUGGUGCCAGCAGCCGCGGUAAUUCCAGCUCCGGUAGCGUAUAUUAAAAUUGUUGCGUUUGAAAAGCUUGUAGUCGGAAUUCGGGAUCGGAAGAGCAUC